rnacentral:rRNA from 1 species
UCAUUUAAAGAAAGCGUAAUAGCUCACUGGUCGAGUCGGCCUGCGCGGAAGAUGUAACGGGGCUAAACCAUGCACCGAAGCUGCGGCAGCGACGCUGAUGCGUUGUUGGGUAGGGGAGCGUUCUGUAAGCCUGUGAAGGUGUGCUGUGAGGCAUGCUGGAGGUAUCAGAAGUGCGAAUGCUGACAUAAGUAACGAUAAAGCGGGUGAAAAGCCCGCUCGCCGGAAGACCA